rnacentral:rRNA from 2 species
AAAUUGAAGAGUUUGAUCAUGGCUCAGAUUGAACGCUGGCGGCAGGCCUAACACAUGCAAGUCGAGCGGUAGCACAGAGAGCUUGCUCUCGGGUGACGAGCGGCGGACGGGUGAGUAAUGUCUGGGAAACUGCCUGAUGGAGGGGGAUAACUACUGGAAACGGUAGCUAAUACCGCAUAAUGUCGCAAGACCAAAGUGGGGGACCUUCGGGCCUCAU